AAAGCUUUAAGUUAAACAAAACUAACAUCCUUCAAAGUUGUCAAUAAAAUUAUUUUUUAAGCUUUA
rnacentral:tRNA from 1 species